rnacentral:rRNA from 1 species
AAGCCUGGGAAACUGGGUCUAAUACCGGAUAGGACCAUCGUUUAGUGUCGGUGGUGGAAAGCUUUUGCGGUACGGGAUGAGCUCGCGGCCUAUCAGCUUGUUGGUGGGGUAAUGGCCUACCAAGGCGUCGACGGGUAGCCGGCCUGAGAGGGUGGACGGCCACAUUGGGACUGAGAUACGGCCCAGACUCCUACGGGAGGCAGCAGUGGGGAAUAUUGCACAAUGGGCGCAAGCCUGAUGCAGCGACGCCGCGUGAGGGAUGACGGCCUUCGGGUUGUAAACCUCUUUCGCUAGGGACGAAGCUUAUGGUGACGGUACCUAGAGAAGAAGCACCGGCUAACUACGUGCCAGCAGCCGCGGUAAUACGUAGGGUGCGAGCGUUGUCCGGAUUUACUGGGCGUAAAGAGCUCGUAGGUGGUUUGUCGCGUCGUCUGUGAAAUUCCGGGGCUUAACUCCGGGCGUGCAGGCGAUACGGGCAUAACUUGAGUACUGUAGGGGAGACUGGAAUUCCUGGUGUAGCGGUGGAAUGCGCAGAUAUCAGGAGGAACACCGAUGGCGAAGGCAGGUCUCUGGGCAGUUACUGACACUGAGGAGCGAAAGCAUGGGUAGCGAACAGGAUUAGAUACCCUGGUAGUCCAUGCCGUAAACGGUGGGCGCUAGGUGUGAGACCCUUCCACGGGUUUUGUGCCGUAGCUAACGCAUUAAGCGCCCCGCCCGGGGAGUACGGCCGCAAGGCUAAAACUCAAAGGAAUUGACGGGGGCCCGCACAAGCGGCGGAGCAUGUGGAUUAAUUCGAUGCAACGCGAAGAACCUUACCUGGGUUUGACAUACACCAGACCGGGCCAGAGAUGGUCUUUCCCUUUGUGGUUGGUGUACAGGUGGUGCAUGGUUGUCGUCAGCUCGUGUCGUGAGAUGUUGGGUUAAGUCCCGUAACGAGCGCAACCC